rnacentral:rRNA from 1 species
AGCGAACGUUUGCGGCGGGCCUAACACAUGCAAGUCGAACGCACUAGCAAUAGUGAGUGGCGCACGGGUGCGUAACACGUGGGUAAUCAACCCUUCAGCCUGGGAUAACGACUCGAAAGGGUCGCUAAUACCGGAUACGGCGCGAGAGGCUUCGGCUUCUCACGAGAAAGCCACGCAAGGGGCACUGAAGGACGAGCCUGCGGCCCAUCAGCUAGUUGGUGAGGUAAGAGCUCACCAAGGCUAAGACGGGUAGCUGGUCUGAGAGGAUGAUCAGCCACACUGGGACUGAGACACGGCCCAGACUCCUACGGGAGGCAGCAGUAGGGAAUCUUCCGCAAUGGACGAAAGUCUGACGGAGCAACGCCGCGUGAGUGAUGAAGGUUUUCGGAUCGUAAAACUCUGUUGUUAGGGAAGAACAAGUGCCGUUCGAAAGGGCGGCACCUUGACGGUACCUAACGAGAAAGCCACGGCUAACUACGUGCCAGCAGCCGCGGUAAUGU